CCACGUCUUCCAGCGCAAGUGCCACCAUGACGCCACGUCGCGCUGCACUCUGGGACCCGCAUGCAGCACUACCUGGCAACUCCAAUGUGCUACCGUGCUUCUGGUUCCGGCACGAAAGGCUGCGCUCCUGCAGAGUCAUGCGGGCUUCGACCGACCAGCUUUCGCUCCCGCUGCCCGGGCGCCAGAAGGACUGCAGCAGGUGUCCUGGCCACGUCUUCCAGCGCAAGUGCCGCGAUGACGCCAUUUCGGGCUGCACUUUGAGAUCAGCAGGAGCAGCAGGUGGCCACUCCAGCCUCCUAACGUGCUUCUGGGUCCGGUACGCAAGUCCCAGCACCUGCCGAGCGUUGUGUCCCGACCUGCCGGCGUGCUGGCCUUCGGCGACUCUGCGGUGGCUGCCCAAUGCCGGAGAAUCGCACGCAGCAGCAGCACCACGAGCAGCGCGCAGUUCGCCGGGUGCAUCGCUUGCUGCGGCUGUUUCACCUCCAGCGGUCCAGUGUUGCCGAACGAGGUCACGUGCACUACUCUUUCUCUAGAAAGAGUACGCGUGCGUGGCCAGGACGUUUAUGUUAACGCUUUUGCUUUCGUAAUGCGUCAAUUUUGUUCUUCUACUUCGAUUAUUUAUCAAUAAAUGUGGUUUUGAUUGUCUA